rnacentral:tRNA from 1 species
GGGAAUGUAGUUUAGAAGGUAAAAACCUAUGUUUUGCAUACAUAAGAUCAUCGGUUCGAACCCGAUCAUUUCCA